rnacentral:rRNA from 1 species
AUUGAACGCUGGCGGCAUGCUUUACACAUGCAAGUCGAACGGUAACAGGCCUUCGGGUGCUGACGAGUGGCGCACGGGUGAGUAAUGCAUCGGAACGUACCCAGAGGUGGGGGAUAACGCAGCGAAAGCUGUGCUAAUACCGCAUGUGAUCUGAGGAUGAAAGCGGGGGACCGAGCAGCAAUGUUUGGCCUCGCGCCUUUGGAGCGGCCGAUGUCGGAUUAGCUAGUUGGUGGGGUAAAGGCCUACCAAGGCGACGAUCCGUAGCUGGUCUGAGAGGACGACCAGCCACACUGGGACUGAGACACGGCCCAGACUCCUACGGGAGGCAGCAGUGGGGAAUUUUGGACAAUGGGCGCAAGCCUGAUCCAGCAAUGCCGCGUGCGGGAAGAAGGCCUUCGGGUUGUAAACCGCUUUUGGCAGGAACGAAACGGUGUCCGCUAAUACCGGGCGCUAAUGACGGUACCUGCAGAAUGAGCACCGGCUAACUACGUG